UCGAGGAUCUUCGGCAAUGAGCGCAAGCUUGACCGAGCGACGCCGCGUGUGCGAUUGAAGGCCUUCGGGUUGUAAAGCACUGUCGAGGGGGAGAAAAGCCCGCAAGGGUGUGAUCUAUCCCUGGAGGAAGCACGGGCUAAGUUCGUGCCAGCAGCCGCGGUAAGACGAACCGUGCGAACGUUGUUCGGAAUCACUGGGCUUAAAGGGCGCGUAGGCGGGCUGCCGCGUCCGGGGUGAAAUCCCACGGCUCAACCGUGGAACGGCCUCGGAUACGGGCGGUCUCGAGGGAGGUAGGGGCACGCGGAACUGUGGGUGGAGCGGUGAAAUGCGUUGAUAUCCACAGGAACUCCGGUGGCGAAGGCGGCGUGCUGGACCUCAUCUGACGCUGAGGCGCGAAAGCCAGGGGAGCAAACG
rnacentral:rRNA from 1 species